rnacentral:lncRNA from 1 species
AUGUGGAGUUCUUCAACUCAGGCUUGCAUCAGAAGUUGAUAUUUAGCAAAAUUUAAUGGGAUUUGGGUCAGGUUGUUUUGAUCAAGUCAUCUGUGCCCCAAUUCAUGAGGUUGGGAUGUUUUCGAUCUAAAAUUUUAUGGAAGUCUUGACUUAGGUCGGGAUAUCUCCUUGCGGUCAGCAUGUUACCAAACACUCAUUUGGAGGUCCUAG